GAUGAACGCUGGCGGCGUGCCUAAUACAUGCAAGUCGAGCGAACGGACGAGAAGCUUGCUUCUCUGAUGUUAGCGGCGGACGGGUGAGUAACACGUGGAUAACCUACCUAUAAGGCUGAGAUAACGUCGGGAAACCGGAGCUAAUACCGGAUAAUAGUGUGAAACGCAUGGUUCAAAAGUGAAAGACGGUCUUGCUGUCACUUAUAGAUGGAUCCGCGCUGCAUUAGCUAGUUGGUAAGGUAACGGCUUACCAAGGCAACGAUGCAUAGCCGACCUGAGAGGGUGAUCGGCCACACUGGAACUGAGACACGGUCCAGACUCCUACGGGAGGCAGCAGUAGGGAAUAUUCCGCAAUGGGCGAAAGCCUGACGGAGCAACGCCGCGUGAGUGAUGAAGGUCUUCGGAUCGUAAAACUCUGUUAUUAGGGAAGAACAUAUGUGUAAGUAACUGUGCACAUCUUGACGGUACCUAAUCAGAAAGCCACGGCUAACUACGUG
rnacentral:rRNA from 1 species